rnacentral:ncRNA from 1 species
UACUCUCGCUGCGGGAGCUUGAUGUUUGGAAAUAAUAUGCUGAGAGUUAAGCAAAAGUCCGCUCUUUUUGUAUGGACUUUUGCAUCGACCGUUCGAACCUGCUCAUGGUAAUGCAUGCGAAAGGGAAUGUGAGUUGUGCAAUGG